CAGCCGCCGCGGUAAUACGUAGGGUGCAAGCGUUAAUCGGAAUUACUGGGCGUAAAGCGUGCGCAGGCGGUUGUGUAAGACAGGUGUGAAAUCCCCGGGCUUAACCUGGGAACUGCGCUUGUGACUGCACAGCUAGAGUAUGGCAGAGGGGGGUGGAAUUCCACGUGUAGCAGUGAAAUGCGUAGAGAUGUGGAGGAACACCGAUGGCGAAGGCAGCCCCCUGGGCCAAUACUGACGCUCAUGCACGAAAGCGUGGGGAGCAAACAGGAUUAGAUACCCGUGUAGUCCCUGUCUCUUAUAU
rnacentral:rRNA from 1 species